rnacentral:rRNA from 1 species
GACGAACGCUGGCGGCGUGCCUAAUACAUGCAAGUAGAACGCUGAAGAGAGGAGCUUGCUCUUCUUGGAUGAGUUGCGAACGGGUGAGUAACGCGUAGGUAACCUGCCUUGUAGCGGGGGAUAACUAUUGGAAACGAUAGCUAAUACCGCAUAACAAUGGAUGACACAUGUCACUUAUUUGAAAGGGGCAAUUGCUCCACUACAAGAUGGACCUGCGUUGUAUUAGCUAGUAGGUGAGGUAAUGGCUCAACUAGGCGACGAUACAUAGCCGACCUGAGAGGGUGCUCGGCCACCCCGGGACUGGGACAAGGCCCAGACUCCUACGGGAGGCAGCAGUAGGGGAUCUUCGGCAAUGGGGGCAACGCUGACCGGGCAACGCCGCGGGAGUGAAGGAGGUUUUCGGGUCGUAAAGCUCUGUUGUAAGUCAAGAACGGGUGUGAGAGUGGAAAGUUCACACUGUGACGGUAGCUUACCAGAAAGGGACGGCUAACUACGUG